UAUAUUUCAAACACCUACACUAC
rnacentral:piRNA from 1 species